UCUUGGCAUUUACCCCAAAUAUUGGGGCAUCGUCUGGACUACACGCCUCUUUGCUAGUCUUGCUUGCGCAAGCAUGAAAUUCAGCCGCGACAUUAAGUAGGCCGUGCCGAAAUAUGAAGUGGUGGUGCAUCCUUGGUAAAGGGGCUACAUUUG
rnacentral:ncRNA from 1 species